AUGGGAGUAAGGGCUCGGCUGAGAUUACACAUCACUGCGAACGAACUUAUUCACUCUUCGAAGCCCCCACCACCUUCUUUCUUUGAGCUGAGCACUUUACUUCGGUUGUGGUCAUUGCCUACCGGUAAACUCCCAUACUUCCUUCUUUUGUUCGAGGGAGGCCAUACAUCUUCCUUCUUUGGUUGGAUCCAGACCCGGCAUAUUGUAUGUAUCCUUCGCCCUUAUUUUAAGUUCAGAGAAUCCGCCUUCACCCUUCGGAGAAAACAUGGUGGCCGGAGACAAGGUAUAAACCAGCAGCAACCAGUAGAGGAGUCAGCCGGUUAUGAUGCAGCAACAGUUCUUAUCGAUCCCAUUUUAAGGACAAAUCCUGAUGUUGGUAAAAUAUACGUGUUGAUCAAGGCCAAGGACAAUGAAGCAGCCAUGAAAAGAUUGAAGAACGAGGUAGAAGAUACUGAGUUGUUCAGAUGUUUACAGGAAAUCCAUGGGAAAAACUACCACAGCUUUGUAUUAAGCAAGCAGGUUCCAGUCGUUGGUAAUUUCAGGGAAGCCUACAUUGGCAUUGCUCCUGAGUUAGCCAAAGAGAUCGCGGAAGAAGUGGAUGUUAUCGUAAACUCUGCAGCAAAUACCACUUUUGAUGAGAGGUAUGAUGUAGCACUAGACAUCAACACCGUGGGGCCAUUCCGGAUAAUGAGUUUCGCGCAGCGGUUUCGAAGACUGAAGCUCUUCUUGCAAGUAUCAACAGCAUAUGUGAAUGGGCAGAGGCAAGGUUUCAUACUAGAGAAGCCAUUUUGCUUAGGGGAUACCAUAACAAAAGGGAUAGGUUCCUCAGAUUUUUCGGCACAUCAGAAUACCGUGUUGGAUAUCGAGGCUGAGAUCAAGUUGGCUUUUGACUCCAGAAGGCAUUCUUCUGCCUCUGCUUCUGUUACUCAAGAAAUGAAAGAGUUAGGUAGUCGAGGGCCAAACUCUAUGGUUGGCAAGACACUUAUAGGCCGCGGCUUUGGUGGCAGCAGCGGCGUCCUCGGCGGCCUUCUUGUCGGCUUCAGCUUUCUCGGCGGCGGCACGGUCGGCGUCGGUGGACAUGGUAGUGAGAAGCUUCAACUUCAUGCCCUGUGCUCCCAUCAUCACCAACCAAAGAAGGAGGUCCAGCAAUAUUAUACAGAUGGGCACAGCCAUCAAAUUUCGAACUCCUCAUCACAGUGGGAUGAAAUGGUUGUGGCGUUGGAGGUGCUUGUGGUGGUUCUUGUUGUGGUCGUGGUGGCGGUAGUGGUGGUAGUGGUAGUGGUGCCAUUGGCGGCGGAGGAGCAUGUGGUGGUGGUGAUUGUUGUGAUGGUUCCGUUGCCGGCGGUAGUGGUGGAAGUGGUAGUGGUGCCAUUGGCGGCGGAGGAGCAUGUGGUGGUGGUGAUUGUUGUGAUGGUUCCGUUGCCGGCGGUAGUGGUGGUAGUGGUCGUGGACGGGAUCAAGGGAUGCUCCGCUGGUGGUGCAACCGUUGCUGCGAGCAGUUCACUGCCCAUUGCUUGA
rnacentral:rRNA from 1 species